AUGGAACCAGCGAUUUGCCAGCCAUUCUGUGGCUUCAUUCCCGGCGCCGACGACGGCGGCCAUGAAAGUAUCAUCCCAAUGACCGAUGAGGGGAAUUGGGACGACCUCCCGCACGACCUCGUGUCCAAGGUGGCAGAGUUCCUGCUUCGCUCCGACGUGACGGAAUUCGUCCGCCUGACAACCGUCAAGCCGUGGAGGGACGCCGUCACGGCCCCGAAGCUCAUGGGUAUGAACCCGCGCUUCUUCCCACGGCACUGGAAGAUGCUGCAGAUCCAAGGUGAGCAAGCCAGGUUCGUGAACGUCCUCACCGGUGCCUCCAUCCGGGUCAAGAUCCCUCGGGAGCACGGUGAAGUCAUUGCCAGCGCCGAGGGCUGCCUGCUCUUGGCCUCGGGCAUGCACAAGGUGCGCAUGUUCAACCCGGUGACCGGAGCCGCCGCCGACCUGCCCACUCCCUUCUUCUGGAUGAGGGCGAACGGCGUUAAGAUAACAGGGGAUAUCAAGGCCGCAGGAAUCAUCUACGACGGUGAGGGUGAGGACGACGCGGUUCCCACUCCCACGAUGGUGCUCCUCGUGGCCGUGUUUCCCAUUGAUAUGGUGAAGUACGCCAGGCCCGGCGACGCCGUGUGGCAGUGGCGAUACUUCGCCCCAAACGAGGACGGCGAGCUUCCGUUGUUCGACGGCGAGGGCGGCCUCUCCCUGGGCGGCCGCUUCUACGUCCCGUCCCUCACGGGAGACGUGCUCAAGUUGGAGCUCGAGCCACAGCCUCACUUGGUGUACGCGGCCAGGCAGGAGGCUACUCAGGCUAGUCAGUUAUACCUACACGUUAGGUCCUACCUGAUGCCGUCUGUUGACGCAGGGAUGCUGCUAGUGGUUCGUAGGUUCGAGAACCAUGCCGGCCACGCAGUAGCCGCGUCCCAUGUGUUCCAGGUGAACCUCAUAGAGGGCACCCUUACCCUACUGCAGGACCAGAAGGACAUUGCCAAUCGGAGCAUUUUCCACCGGCGGUUGACGCUCGGUACGCAGUGA
rnacentral:rRNA from 1 species